rnacentral:lncRNA from 7 species
AGCCAUGCAGCCUCGCAGAUAAGGAAACCCGUGCUGCUGCAGAGCUGGUUGUACUAGGGAAGCUGUAGCCUUUCCCUCUGCCUGCUCCCACAGAAUUUGCAGGCUCAGUGAAACUGCUCAGGUCUCCCCGCUGAGGCUGACUAUGUGUUCACCCUCCAGACUGCUUGGGAACGAAGGCAAAGAGAAGAACAUUGUCCCGCAAAGCCAUGUGCCUCGCUUGCAGUCUGGGAGCUGAGGCACAGCUUCUGACUUUGCUCUGCAGCCCCUGUGUCCCAACCACAACCCAGGACACUGAUCAACCUGAAGCUGCUGGUUUUCUUGUGAUGGGCUCCUGUAUGCGUUCCAAAUACUGUUGAGGCUGCUCUGUGGGUAUUUUUAGUGUGCAUCAGGUGCCAACGAGGAAAACAAAAGCCUCUUCUUCAUGAGCCCACGUCUGCAGUUAUUUCCAGUGCCUGUGUCCUCGUGUGCAUCCUGCAGCCCUUGGGGCUCCGACAGCAGGCACUGAGAAAAACCAAGCUUGGGAAAAAUCUAAAUACUUCCCAAGGAAGAACUUCAGGAAAUGCCCAUCAAACAGCUGAGCAGGGGAUUCCUGAGCAGGUUUCCUGUGCUUCUUUGAAAUGCUGAUAAAAAGCUUCGUGAGAUACCUGCACAGAGGAAUUUCCCAAACAGGGCACUGAAAGCUUCACACCACAAUGUAUGCGUGAUACUGGAGCUCCCACACGUGCUGGGUGUUUGGAUAGCGUUCUUAGACCUGCUGAAACCUGCGUAAUGUAGUAAUUAUGGGCUGCUAGCUGUUGAAAGGACUCGUGAAGCUACUCCAAGGGGCAGCUGUCACCUGGGUCCUUCAGAUCCCAGCUCAUGUUUGCCUCUGCACGUCCUCAGCAUGCAAACAGGGCUGAGGGAAAGCACCCUGCCUCCUCCUGUCCCUGGGUGCAGGGAUGGCAAUGGCCGGCAGCACUGACAUCUGCCUCCUGGUGUGACCCCAAGGAUGUGACUUUGGGACAGAAACAACAUGCAGCCAGGCACCCCUGAAAUGCAGCAGGGUCAUGGGAUCCAGCUCUGGCAUUAGUGUGCAGUCCUGAACAUCUGCACCAACAUUUGUGUGCCCAGCCAUCAUUGCAGCACCUGUAGCCAUCUGAGCUGGCGCUGGCUGAAGCAUGAAGCCAGGUGAAGGGGUGGGUUCUUUGGGACUGGCAAAAUAUCCCAUGUGCCUUUCAGUGUUUUCCUCUUUUUUUUUUUUUUUAAUUAUGCUUGGAGCCUCUUCUGAACAGUAAAACCUAAAAAAUAUUGGGGAAAAUCUUAAUGUGCCACUUUUGGAUC